CCUACGGGGGGCUGCAGUGAGGAAUAUUGGUCAAUGGUCGGGAGACUGAACCAGCCAAGCCGCGUGAGGGAUGAAGGUACAGAGUAUCGUAAACCUCUUUUGUCAGGGCACAAAGGCGGGGACGUGUCCCCGGAUGAGUGUACCUGAAGAAAAAGCAUCGGCUAACUCCGUGCCAGCAGCCGCGGUAAUACGGAGGAUGCGAGCGUUAUCCGGAUUUAUUGGGUUUAAAGGGUGCGCAGGCGGUCUGUUAAGUCAGCGGUCAAAGCCCGGGGCUCAACCCCGGCCCGCCGUUGAAACUGGCAGUCGCGAGUUGGAGAGAAGUAUGCGGAAUGCGCGGGGUAGCGGUGAAAUGCAUAGAUAUCGCGCAGAACUCCGAUUGCGAAGGCAGCAUGCCGGCUCCACACUGACGCUGAGGCACGAAAGCGUGGGUAUCGAACAGGAUUAGAUACCCUUGUAGUC
rnacentral:rRNA from 1 species